rnacentral:lncRNA from 1 species
CCGCAUCUCCUGCGUGGUACGAGCUCGAGCUCGGCGGUAGCCAUAGCCGUGGUGGAGUAAGCCACUUGGGUGUUUGAUGAAAUGCCAAUAAAGAUUGAAAGAACGGUAAUGUUAAGGCCUUGUUUAGUUUAAAAAAAUUUCAAGAUUUUCCGUCACAUCGAAUCUUGCGGCACAUGCAUGGAGCAUUAAAUAUAAAUAAAAAAUAAAAACUAAAUGCACAGUUUGACUGUAGAUCGCGAGAUGAAUCUUUUGAGUUUAGUUAGUCCGUGAUUGGACAAUAUUUAUCAAAUAAAAUCAAAAAUGCUACCAUACCUGAAAAAGAGAAAAUUUUGGGAACUGAACAAGGCUGGCAAUGAAACAAAAUUCGGAUGGCUAGGUCUAUGGCAGUGGCUGCGAACCCCGUCCAGAGUGCCUAGCGGGGGCGACGCUGACGGCGUGGCCGUGGCCUCCUGAGUGCUGACUGAUCCUGCUCCUGCUCCUGCUCAAACAACAUCAUCGCAGCAAGGAAUCUCUCCUCACUGAUUGCGCUUGCCCUGCCCCUCCUUCCUUCAUGUCGUCCAGUCCAG